GCCAGACUCCUACGGGAGGCAGCAGUGGGGAAUAUUGCACAAUGGGGGAAACCCUGAUGCAGCGACGCCGCGUGAAGGAAGAAGUAUCUCGGUAUGUAAACUUCUAUCAGCAGGGAAGAAAACAGACGGUACCUGACUAAGAAGCCCCGGCUAACUACGUGCCAGCAGCCGCGGUAAUACGUAGGGGGCAAGCGUUAUCCGGAUUUACUGGGUGUAAAGGGGGCGCAGACGGCCAUGGCAAGCCCGGUGUGAAAGGCGGGGGCAUAACCCCUGGACUGCACUGGGAACUGUCAGGCUGGAGUGCCGGAGGGGUAAGCGGAAUUCCUGGUGUAGCGGUGAAAUGCGUAGAUAUCAGGAGGAACACCGGCGGCGAAGGCGGCUUUCUGGACUGAAACUGACGCUGAGGCACGAAAGCGUGGGGAGCGAACAGGAUUAGAUACCCCCGUAC
rnacentral:rRNA from 1 species